AGGGUUUGAUCAUGGCUCAGGAUGAACGCUGGCGGCGUGCCUUAAGCAUGCAAGUCGAACGGUCGCAAGACAGUGGCGGACGGGUGAGUAUAAGCAAGGAACGUACCCUUUACUGUGGCAUAGCUCGUCGAAAGACGGGGUAAUAUCGCAUGAGGCCUCACGGCCAAAGCGCUUAACCGCGCGGUAAAGGAGCGGCCUUGUUCCUAUCAGCUUGUUGGUGGGGUAAUGGCCUACCAAGGCUCUGACGGGUAGGGGGUGUGAGAGCACGACCCCCCACAAUGGCACUGAGAAACGGGCCAUACAUCUACGGAUGGCAGCAACUGGGAAUCGUUGGCAAUGGGCGAAAGCCUGACCACGCGACGCCGCGUGAGUGAUGAAGGCCUUAGGGUCGUAAAGCUCUUUCGCCUGUGAAGAUAAUGACGGUAGCAGGUAAAGAAACCCCGGCUAACUCCGUGCCAGCCGCCGCGGUAAUAC
rnacentral:rRNA from 1 species